rnacentral:misc_RNA from 1 species
UUCUUCAUCAGGAAAGCAAUCCAAGUUAUAUAUUGGAUAGGGAUGUGAGAGAUGUGCUCUAUAGGAGGUCCUUGUGAUUUUCAACACUGCAAUGCAUUUGAUUCAUGCAUCUUCUACUGUUUUAUACAUGCUUAAAUGUGAUCACUGAUUCCUUUGCUUCCCUUUCAAAUGCCUCACAUGCAUCAACAGCCCCAUCUCUGCACCUGAAAAGAAUUGGUUUAUCUUUCUGUACUGUGACCAUUGUUUGAUCCCAUGGUUGCGUCAUUGUAAAGAAUCAAAUUUUAGUGGGAGAAAUUCCUUGCUAUGUUGGAAUUCACUUGUCAAUUUUUACUCAUCAAAAUGAAGAAUCUAAGAGUAUUCUAUGAUUACUUUCUUAAUUUGUUUCCUUUUAUGCUGUUUCAGCCAUCAUCCUCUCCUUAGUUCUGGUUUGACAUGUUCAUUUUUGUUUGAUUAUGUGAUUAUUUAUAGUACUUCUGUACUCUGGUUGAAGUUGAAUCUCCUUUAAUUCUAAUUGUGACCUUAGAAAUUGUUGAAUGAAUUAUUUUCUCUGCUUUCAUAUUCUAACUUGCCCACUCUGAACAAACAUGGAAAACCUUUUCGUUCUUGACUGACGAUAGUGAAAAGGAAACAGGGACCUAUUGGAAUACAUUAAUUUGGCGUACAAGUUUCCUGUGGCCUGUGGGAUGGGCAUGAUUUGGACAUUGUGUGUUUUGAAU